GGAGGGAUCAUUAAAGAGUGUAAAAACUCCCAACCCAUGUGAACUUUACCUUCCCCUCGGGCCCCUGAAAAGGCCCCUGGGCGUUGCUUCGGCCCCUGGCAACAGGGGUCGGAGGUACCAAACUUUUGUUUUUAAAGUAUCUCUGAGGCCUAUUGGCAACUAUAACAACUUUCAACAACGGAUCUCUUGGCUCCAGCAUCGAUGAAGAACGCAGCGAAAUGCGAUAAGUAUUGUGAAUUGCAGAAUCCAGUGAAUCAUCGAAUCUUUGAACGCACAUUGCGCCCGCCGGAAUUCCGGCGGGCAUGCCUGUUCGAGCGUCAUUUCAACCCUCAAAUCCCCCGGAUUUGGUGUUGGGACGUCCGCGUCAGCGGGGGUCCUCAAAUCUAUAGGCGGUACCGCACGGCACUGAACGCAGUAAUCUUUAUUCGUUUGGUAAGUCGGGCGGCUGCUCGCCUCUAAACCCUUCUUUCUAAGGUUGACCUCGGAUCAGGUAGGAAUACCCGCUGAACUUAAGCAUAUCAAUAAGCGGAGGAAAAGAAACCAACAGGGAUUGCCUCAGUAACGGCGAGUGAAGCGGCAACAGCUCA
rnacentral:rRNA from 1 species